rnacentral:rRNA from 1 species
UACGUAGGGGGCAAGCGUUGUCCGGAAUCAUUGGGCGUAAAGAGCGUGUAGGCGGCCCGAUAAGUCCGCUGUGAAAGUCCAGGGCUCAACCCUGGGAUGCCGGUGGAUACUGUCGGGCUCGAGUCCGGAAGAGGAGUGUGGAAUUCCUGGUGUAGCGGUGAAAUGCGCAGAUAUCAGGAGGAACACCAAUGGCGAGGGCAGCACUCUGGGACGUGACUGACGCUGAGACGCGAAAGCGUGGGGAGCAAACAGG